UACGAAGGGGGCUAGCGUUGCUCGGAAUCACUGGGCGUAAAGGGUGCGUAGGCGGGUCUUUAAGUCAGAGGUGAAAUCCUGGAGCUCAACUCCAGAACUGCCUUUGAUACUGAGGAUCUUGAGUCCGGGAGAGGUGAGUGGAACUGCGAGUGUAGAGGUGAAAUUCGUAGAUAUUCGCAAGAACACCAGUGGCGAAGGCGACACGCUGGGCCGUACCUGACACUGAUGCGCGACAGCAUGGGGAGCAAACAGG
rnacentral:rRNA from 1 species